AUGGAAAAGAAGGUAUUCAUGCCAUUUGAAAAGGAAGACCGAUACACACUAUUAGUGCUCGACAAAUAUAGAAGGAAGCUUCAAAUCAUCGAGCCUGAAGAAACCUCUCUUGAAGAAUUGAAGAGGCAAGAAUACCUGAAAAAACAACGUGCUCGCCACGUGCAUGAUGGCAAACUAAGUAAGCAAAUUGCUGACAUGGAAAUCAAUGAAGCAAACAAAGAAAAGGAGCAUAAAAAAUACCACAACCAUAAAGAAAAACUGGUGCCCGAGUUCAAGGAAGUAUACGAAAUAUUACUCAGUGAAAAAUUCAAAAAGGAAAGGACUAAAUGGGAAGUUCAAUUUUUAAAGGACGUUCCAAAGGUGAACAAAGGUGAAACCCCGUUUGCUGUUCUAAGGUUCGCGCAUCUCUUUGAUGGCAACCACUUCGUCGAAGAGAUAGAUAAUUUCGAUGAUGGCACAGAACAAUGGAAAGCACAACAACUGUGUAGGCUACUAUUUAGCAAUCAGAAUACAAUCGAACCCAGCGAAAUGGGCGAUGAGAUUAGAAAGAUCUAUGACGACAUCAAGGAAUAA
rnacentral:rRNA from 1 species